rnacentral:tRNA from 1 species
GGGAGUUUAGCUCAGUGGUAGAGUGUGUGCUUAGCAUGCACAAGGUCCUGGGUUCAGUCCCCAGUACCUCUA